rnacentral:rRNA from 1 species
GCAUAUCAAUAAGCGGAGGAAAAGAAAAUAACAAUGAUUCCCCUAGUAACUGCGAGUGAAGAGGGACAAGCUCAAAUUUUAAAUCUGUCGGGUUCUACCUGACCGAGUUGUAAUUUGAAGAGGCGUUUUCUGUGUUUCUGAUCAGUCCAAGUCCUUUGGGAUAAGGCAUCACGGAGGGUGAGAAUCCCGUUCGGUUGAUCAGAUUCGCUUUACGAUACGCUUUCAAAGAGUCAAGUUGUUUGGGAUUGCAGCUUAAAAUGGGAGGUAAAUUUCUCCUAAGGCUAAAUAACGGCGAGAGACCGAUAGCGAACAAGUACCGUGAGGGAAAGAUGAAAAGAACUUUGAAAAGAGAGUUAAAUAGUACGUGAAAUUGUUGAAAGGGAAACGAUUGAAGCCAGUCGUACCUGCGGGUAAUCAGCCUUUUGGGCAUGAUUCCGUGGAGUGUGAGGAGUUAAACGCCUUCAUGCCUGUAUAUUCGUGUACUUUGGGUGUACUUGCCUGUGUGGUUAGUUAACAUCAAUUUUGGUUAUCAUAAAAUGGCUGGAGGAAUGUAGCUUCGAUUUCGAUUGAAGUGUUAUAGCCUUCGGCAGAUGUGAUGAUCGGGAUUGAGGAUUGCAACGGAUACCCUUCGGGGCUACCUGUCUGAUCUCUGAUCGUUGCUUUGGUGCCGAAAGCGUGCUUACGGUUAUCAAAGUCGAUGGUUAAUAGGUUAGAACGGGUUAAAUUCGUUAAGGAUGUUGACGUA